UACGUAGGGUGCGAGCGUUUAAUCGGAAUUACUGGGCGUAAAGCGUGCGCAGGCGGUUCGUUGUGUCGGCGGUGAAAGCCCCGGGCUUAACCUGGGAACGGCCGUUGAAACUGGCGAACUGGAGUGUGGCAGAGGGGGGUAGAAUUCCACGUGUAGCAGUGAAAUGCGUAGAGAUGUGGAGGAAUACCAAUGGCGAAGGCAGCCCCCUGGGAUAAUAUUGACGCUCAUGCACGAAAGCGUGGGGAGCAAACGAGGAUUACGAA
rnacentral:rRNA from 1 species